CGCAGCUGCCCACUACAGACGUUGAUGCUGGUGAUGCUGAGACAGUAGUGGCCACGUACGGAGGUGAACGAUUAGCUGGACUUACCAUAUGUUUAUGACGGGUGCCACCGGUGGGACAGGAUACGCCCAGGUUUUCGCGGACAUCUGGCUGCUGGAUCUGUUAGAAUAUUUAUGGAAACAAGGAUUCAGUUUUAGACUCCGUGCCUAGUGUACAAGUCACACCAUGGCUCCAUCAUACCUGCCCAGACUGCUCCAACACUACAAACCAGUUACAUCACUUCGCUCACAAGCCCAAUGUCGUCGUACAGCUCCUAAUUUCAUGUUGGUCCCUGCCUGGCGCUCGGCAUUAAUGGGUACAACAAGGACUGGUCGGCUCGGAGUCAGUAUAAUGUGUCUGAGUGGGGUAUUCAUGCUUCACUGCCGACGUUUCAAGGCCGACCACUCAAGAGGCCUAGUCUACAGUCAACAUUGAACUUUCAACAGCUGUCAACAAAUCUCAAUCAGGAUAUCAACAAGGAUCAAGACUUUGGUUACUACAGAUAAUGUGACCCAAUCGUAUGAAAUUAGAAUCUGUACUGUCAUUCAUUGUAACCUUGUCUAUCUUUUAUCUAAUAUAUUAUUGAAUAUUA